GUUUGUGUGGCUUAGUGGUUAGCACGUUUGCCUGACACCUCUAGGGGCCUGGGUUCGAUUCCCGCCAGGGCCA